GACGAACGCUGGCGGCGUGCCUAAUACAUGCAAGUUGAGCGAUGAAGCUUGGUGCUUGCACCAAUUUGAAGAGCAGCGAACGGGUGAGUAACGCGUGGGGAAUCUGCCUUUGAGCGGGGGACAACAUUUGGAAACGAAUGCUAAUACCGCAUAACAACUUUAAACAUAAGUUUUAAGUUUGAAAGAUGCAAUUGCAUCACUCAAAGUUGAUCCCGCGUUGUAUUAGCUAGUUGGUGAGGUAAAGGCUCACCAAGGCGAUGAUACAUAGCCGACCUGAGAGGGUGAUCGGCCACAUUGGGACUGAGACACGGCCCAAACUCCUACGGGAGGCAGCAGUAGGGAAUCUUCGGCAAUGGACGAAAGUCUGACCGAGCAACGCCGCGUGAGUGAAGAAGGUUUUCGGAUCGUAAAACUCUGUUGGUAGAGAAGAACGUUGGUGAGAGUGGAAAGCUCAUCAAGUGACGGUAACUACCCAGAAAGGGACGGCUAACUACGUG
rnacentral:rRNA from 1 species